rnacentral:rRNA from 1 species
UACGGGGGGGGCAAGCGUUGUUCGGAAUUACUGGGCGUAAAGGGCUCGUAGGCGGCCAACUAAGUCAGCUGUGAAAUCCCUCGGCUUAACCGGGGAACUGCGUCUGAUACUGGAUGGCUUGAAUCCGGGAGAGGGAUGCGGAAUUCCAGGUGUAGCGGUGAAAUGCGUAGAUAUCUGGAGGAACACCGGUGGCGAAGGCGGCAUCCUGGGCCAAUUCUGACACUGAGGAGCGAAAGCCAGGGGAGCAAACGGG